rnacentral:rRNA from 1 species
CCUACGGGUGGCAGCAGUGGGGAAUAUUGCACAAUGGGCGAAAGCCUGAUGCAGCAACGCCGCGUGAAGGAAGACGGUUUUCGGAGUGUAAACUUCUGUUCUUAGUGAAGAAAAAUGACGGUAACUAAGGAGCAAGCCACGGCUAACUACGUGCCAGCAGCCGCGGUAAUACGCAGGUGGCAAGCGUUGUCCGGAAUUACUGGGUGUAAAGGGAGCGUAGGCGGGAAGCCAAGUCAGCUGUGAAAACUACGGGCGUAACCUGUAGACUGCAGUUGAAACUGGCUUACUAGAGUGAAGUAGAGGUAGGCGGAAUUCGGGGUGUAGCGGUGAAAUGCGUAGAUAUUCGGAGGAACACCGGUGGCGAAGGCGGCCGACUGGACUUUAACUGACGCUGAGGCUCGAAAGUGUGGGGAGCAAACAGGAUUAGAUACCCGAGUAGUC